rnacentral:rRNA from 1 species
UACGUAGGAUGCAAGCGUUGUCCGGAGUUAUUGGGCGUAAAGCGCACGUAGGCGGUGCGGUAAGUGUGGUGUGAAAUCUGCGGGCUUAACCCGCAGCGGUCGCUGCAGACUGCCGUGCUUGAGGGCUGGAGAGGAAGAUAGAAUUCCCGGUGUAGUGGUGAAAUGCGUAGAUAUCGGGAGGAAUACCAGUGGCGAAGGCGGUCUUCUGGCCAGUUCCUGACGCUGAGGUGCGAAAGCUAGGGAGCGAACGGG